CAAUAGCGUAUAUUAAAGUUGUUGCAGUUAAAAAGCUCGUAGUUGGAUUUCUGGUUGAGUGCGCCUGGCCCGCCUCGUUUCGAGUGUGAGUGCCGGUGCGCGCUUGCCAUCCUCUCAGAUUGGCUUCGCUCUUCACUGAACGGAGCUACGAUCUGGGUCGUUUACUUUGAAAAAAAUAGAGUGUUUAAAGCAGGCUUUUGCUGUGAAUACAUUAGCAUGGAAUAAUAAUCUAGGACUUCGGUUCUAUUUUGUUGGUUUCUAGUUCUGAAGUAAUGAUUGAUAGGGAUAGUUGGGGGUGCUAGUAUUCAGCGGCCAGAGGUGAAAUUCUUGGAUUCGCUGAAGACUAACUUAUGCGAAAGCAUUCACCAAGGAUGUCUUCUUUAA
rnacentral:rRNA from 1 species